rnacentral:rRNA from 1 species
GAUGAACGCUAGCGGGAGGCUUAACACAUGCAAGUCGAGGGGCAGCAUAGGGUAGCAAUACUCUGAUGGCGACCGGCAAACGGGUGAGUAACGCGUAUGCAACCUACCCUGUACAGGGGGAUAACCCGGAGAAAUUCGGACUAAUAUCCCGUAAUAAUAUCCGGAGGCAUCUUUGGAUAUUUAAAGUUCCGACGGUACGGGAUGGGCAUGCGUAACAUUAGCUGGUUGGUAAGGUAACGGCUUACCAAGGCUAUGAUGUUUAGGGGUCCUGAGAGGGUGGUCCCCCACACUGGUACUGAGACACGGACCAGACUCCUACGGGAGGCAGCAGUGAGGAAUAUUGGUCAAUGGGCGCAAGCCUGAACCAGCCAAUCCCGCGUGCAGGAAGACGGCCCUAUGGGUUGUAAACUGCUUUUCCAGGGAGAGAAACUUACGCACGUGUUGCGUGACUGACGGUACCCUGGGAAUAAGCAUCGGCUAACUCCGUG